AUUGAACGCUGGCGGCGUGCUUAACACAUGCAAGUCGAUCGGUAACAGGUGUAGCAAUACAUGCUGACGAGAGGCGGACGGGUGAGGAAUAUUUGGGAAUCUGCCCAUCAGCGGGGGACAACCCGGGGAAACUCGGGCUAAUACCGCAUACGCUCUACGGAGGAAAGCCGGGGACCGCAAGGCCUGGCACUGAUGGAUGAGCCCAAAUCGGAUUAGCUAGUUGGCGGGGUAACGGCCCACCAAGGCGACGAUCCGUAGCUGGUCUGAGAGGACGAUCGGCCAAACCGGAACUGAGACACGGUCCGGACUCCUACGGGAGGCAGCAGUGGGGAAUAUUGGACAAUGGGGGAAACCCUGAUCCAGCGACGCCGCGUGGGUGAAGAAGGCCUGCGGGUUGUAAAGCCCUUUCGGUAGGGAAGAAAUCUCUUGUCUUAACACGGCAAGGGUUUGACUUAACCUACAUAAGAAGCACCGGCUAGCUCUGUGCCAGCAGCCUCCGUAAUAC
rnacentral:rRNA from 1 species